rnacentral:rRNA from 1 species
GACAGAGGGUGCAAACGUUGUUCGGAAUUACUGGGCGUAAAGCGUGCGCAGGCGGUUUGUUAAGUCUGUUGUGAAAUCCCCGAGCUCAACUUGGGAAUUGCAAUGGAUACUGGCAGGCUGGAGUAUGGUAGAGGAAGGUGGAAUUCCCGGUGUAGCAGUGAAAUGCGUAGAGAUCGGGAGGAACACCAGUGGCGAAGGCGGCCUUCUGGACCAAUACUGACGCUCAUGCACGAAAGCGUGGGGAGCAAACAGG